CUUGCAGCCAGCAGGAAGGCUGAGACAGGAGACAGCAAAUCAAGGCCAGGCUGGGUGGGCUUCAUAGUGCGUUCCAGGCAAGCCUCGGAAGCAUAAUUAGACCCUGUCUCAAUCAGUAAAUGGUUAUGAGCCACCAUGUCGUUGCUGGGAAUUUGAACUCAGGACCUUUGGAAGAACCUCUGAGCCAUCUCUCCAGCCCCAAUGGAACACACCUUUAACCCCAGUUUUCAGAAGGAUCUCUGUGAGCUCAAAGCCUGCCUGGUCUAAGAUACUGGAAGUACUGGCUCACAUCUAUAACUCCAGGACUUGGGAAAGCCGAGGCAGGAAGAUUGCCAAGAACUGUAGGCCAGCCUGGACUGUGUGAUGAGUUCCAAGCCAACCGGAUCUUUGAGUGAGACGCUGUCUAUAGAGAAAAGGCAAUGGAGGGAAAACAAACAUCGCAGGCGUGCGUUGAGAGUCCAUCAAGUGAAGUGACACUUUGUCUGACCUUCCCAACCUCUGGAGGAAGAAGAUUAAUGUCCCCAUUGUGCUCACCGAGUGACCUACCCCAGGAGGGACCACACUGGCCAUCGAGGGAGCUCCCACGAAAGAGAGGCCAUGGUCAUUACUUGAUCAGCUGCUCCUGUCAUGCAUCUGUUUCCCUCGGACACCCCAGCCCGUUCCCUGUUGAUGUCUUCUAGUGGAAGUACGGCAGAAAACAGCAUGUCUCUUUCUUGGUGGUACUUAACCUGUGUGCCUGCAGCUUCCACACUUUCCGAUGGACAUGGAGGACUAAAAAUGCGUAUCGGCCAUCAGUGUGGACGGUAACUCUCUCGUUUUGACUUAAUCCCAGAGUUCUGGUGAUGGCUAUCAGGUCAGCCAACUGAGCCUAAUCCCAGGAGGGAAGGCUUCACCAUCGAAGGUGUCUGUAAGUUACUGUAAGUUACCUGGCGCAGGGGACCCCUUGCUCAAUUAAGGGUCUGCCAAGAAGGCCAGGGAGUUUCUUUAAGACCUCCCUUAUAGCCGGGCAUGGUGGCACAUGCCUGUGAUUCCAACAUAGUGUGAGCCGGAAGGCAGAGGCAGGCGGAUCUCUGUGAGUUCAAGGCCAGCCUGGUCUACAAAGUGAGUCCAGAACAAGCCAAGGCUAUACACACACACACACACACACACACACACACACACACACACACAAAAUAACCCUGUCUCAAAAAACAAACAAAACAAAGAAAGAAAAGAAAAAAAGACUUUAGUGUGUGUGUCUGUGUGUGUACAUGCUUAACCCAUGUGGAGGUCAGAGGACAACUUAGAGGAGUUGCUUCUCUCCUGAGCCGUGUGGUUUCUUGGGAUCAAAUUCAGAUACUAAGGUGUGACUACAAGCCCCUUUACCUGCUGAGCCAUCUUGUUAGUCCUUGUUUGAGACUUGUUUGUUUUCUCUUUAGAUAUUGAUUGAUUGAUUGAUUGAUUGAUUGAGAUAGGGUUUCUCUGUGUAGCCCUGGCUGUCCUGGGACUCACUCUGUAGACCAGGCUAACUUCAAACUCAGAGAGAUCCACCUGCCUUUGCCUCUCCAAGUGCUGAGAUUAAAGGCGUGGGCCGCUCCACUCCCCCCCACACCCGUGCUCUUUCUUCCUUUCAUUCUUUUUGAUAGACUUCUUUGUUUUUAUUUUACGGGUAUGACAGUCUUGCCUGCAUGUACGCAUGUACCCAACAUGCUGUGGAUGCCUGGUGCUCAUGGAGGUCAGAAUAGUUGUGAGCCACCAUGUGGGUGCUGGGCACUGACCCCAGGUCCUCUGCAAGAGCAACCAGUGCUCUUUAACGGCUGAUCCAUCUUUCCAGCCCCAUGUUUGGAAUGUUCUCAUCUUCCUCUUCCUCUGAGAGGGAUGUAACAGGGUUAAGGAGGGAACAGAUUUUUAUUUGGACAGCUGAGCUGUCCAAGGGUAGAGCCUGGUGUCCCAGGAGCCUGUUAUGAGCUAGCCAGAGCCUCCCUUUGGAUUUUAACAGUUCUUCCAAGUGAUGUGGAAGGUCAAUUUAGCUGCCUCUGGAAUUAACAGAGCAGCUUCAGCUGUAAUGCCAGCUUUAUCUGUGGGAUCUAAAUCUCAGCUAAGGUGGGCUGUUGAGUGAACCCCGAAAGCCUUUCUUUUUUUUUUCAGUUACAUAGAAAUUCAAGUUGGGAGUCUCAAAGCUGAGGCUCCAAGGAAUACCUAUUUAGGAAGGCUUAUGUCCCUCUGGCUUGCUGCUGAAGGCUUGUGUUUUUCUUGCCUGGAUUUCUUUUAUUGGCUAGUUUCUUUUAUAGCCAGGCAAAUAACCCACAUACUGGAAUGCAAAGUCUUCAGGAUGUUGUAAUCCUCUCCCCAAGGAGGUCUCCCCCCCUUUUUCUUUUGGUAAUGGGAAGGAAGAGUUAGAGCACACCCAGUCCUCACCAAAUCCCCUUUCCCUUUAGCUGUGUCUAAUGCUAAGUAUUUAAUUGAUAGCUGUCACAACUGAACUUUAUUUUGGAUGCCUUAUAACCCCUGUCAGAUGAGAAGUAACUCAGUUCCUUCCUGGGAAUCUUCUGUGGGGCCACUAAGGAUCAUUCACCUAUUGGAGGACCUUGGCUUGAGGGCCUAAGAAGCCAGGAGAGUUUCUAGAUAGCAGCAUCUAGCCAAGGUGGGAACUAUGCUUGAAUCCCAGGACCAGGGUCAUCCAGGGGAGCUGGGUAAACAGGAGGUUGUAUCUCCAUGACAGACAAGCACUGGGACUCAGGGUGUAAGGGUUUACAGAAAGGGGCAUCCUUUAAGUCUAGGGCAGUAGGGUCUUUGGGGUCUGUGUCAGGAGAAUGUGUGUGUUAGGGAUCGAGGGGUGAAGUGAAAUUUCACCUUUAUUAAUAAGUCUGAAGUCUUGGAUUAGUCUCCACUCUGUGUUAGGUUCUAAGACUUCACGAGUAGGAUUGCCACAGAGGAUCACUAACCUGCUGUUUCAGAUUGGCGGUGAUGUUUGGUAAAGCCCUGUUGAACCUCACGUUUAAAGGAUUCUGUCAUGGGUAGGGAAAUAAGAACUGUUUGCAGAAGCAGGCAGAUCUCUAUGAGUUCAAGGCCAGCCUGGUGUACAUAGUAAGUUCCAGGACAAUCAGAGUUAUGUAGUGAAAAUGUACAUAUAGUUUUUCCUGUCCCAAGAAAACAAACAAACAAACAAAACAACAUCAAAGAAAUAGCCAGGUGUUGUAGUGCAGGCCUUUGAUCUCAGCCCUCAGCAGGUAGAGGCAAGGACAUCUCUGAGUUUCAGGCCAGCCUGGUCUACAGAGUGAGUUCCAGGGUAGUCAGGGCUACACAGAGAAACCCUGUGUCAAAAAAUGAACCAACCAGGCAACUGAAGAAAGGAAACUGGAUGAGAAAUGUCCCUCAUAGGCUCCUGUAUUCUGAACACUUGAUCUCCAAUUAGUGGCACUGUUUGGGAAGGUUUCCCGACCUUUAGAAGGUGGAGCCUUGCUUGAGGAAGUAAGUCACUGAGGGCGGGUAGUGUCGCGUGCAAUCCUUCGCCGAUAAGGAAGACGCGGCAACCGAAGAUUUGUCCAGCAGAAUCUUUAUUGUAGAGCUCUUGUAGGUAGAUGGAGAAGGACCCCAAACCCCAAGCGCGCUCUGCUUAAAUAGCCUGCAGGGCGGCGUGCUCGUCUGUGAUUGGUGCUCCGCACAAUACCCAAUUAGCAUGUGUUCUCUGAUAGGGAGAGCACUCAAAUCCGUAUUAGCAUCAUGUGGCGCAUGCGCCGCUGUAAGGCGAGUUCUAGCAAGAAGAACCAGGAAGCAGGAAGCCAGCGCCAUCUCGUAAUGGCGAAUGCGGCUCCCGACAGGGUAGGAGGGUUUACAGCCUCAUUCCACUUCCUGUUCAAGCUCUCUGCUUCCUCCGUGUGGAUGAAAAGCCUGAUCAGCCAGAUUCCUGCUCCUGUCCCAUGCUUUCCCAAACUGUUGCCAUGCCAUCCCCACCAUGAUGGGCAUUAUCUCGUCGGAAACCUAUGCAGAAAUGAGCUCCUACCUCCUCUAAGUUGCUUUUGGUGGUGAAAAAGGAACUGACAGUCUUUUGGAUGGGUUUUUAGUAGGCAAGGCUGGCCCCACCCUUCCAGUCUACCCCUGGAUACCCCACACUCUCAGACCAAUUUUAGUCUCCAUUAAAUUGAGAGUGAGGUCCUGUCUCCGGGCUGUAAGAAUGGUGAUUCCCCAGGACGGACAUGACUCGUCUAGAAGAGGAGCAGGGCUCUCUGGUACUCUUGGGAAGGCACGUGACAAAAGGACACCUUCCCAGUUGUGAUUGAGGAGGCAAAAUAAAAGCCAAGGGCUUUCCAGUGCCACUCAUCACGAUGGCACUGCUGGGGGAAGGAGGGCCAGGAUGAGAGGGAUGACUGAUGGACAGUUCUACCUAGCAAAUGCUUGUCUCAGCCCUCCACUGUCCCCUUACCCUGGAUUUACAUAAGGAAAUUUGGUGUUGGGUGGAGGUAUCAUAGGUUAAACCUUGGGCCCCUUCAGUCUCGUUCUUGCUGGACCAGGAUAGGCAUGCAUUCUGUCCCCAUGAGCCUUAACCUCUGGAGACAGCCUCCUCUUCAGUGGUUCUGUAGACACAAUUAGGAUAAGGUCCAGGUAGAAACCCUGACCUUCCCUCUGGGCUCUCCCCUUUGAGAUUUCAUUUCCUUCAACACUCAUAGCACGAAUACACAACCACAGAACAAAAAGAAAUAAAUCCUUUUUGUUGUUGUCGUUUGCUGUUCAAGACAGGGUUUCUCUGUGUGGCCCUGGCUUUCCUGGAACUUGCUCUGUAGACUAGGCUGGCCUUGAACUCGGAGACCCUCCUGCCUCUGCCUCCCAAGCACUGGGAACGAAGGUGUGUGCCACCACCACCAGGCCUGUCUUAAAUAAAUCUUAAAACACAAUAAAAACAAA